rnacentral:rRNA from 1 species
UACAGGGGGGGCAAGCGUUGUUCGGAAUUACUGGGCGUAAAGGGUUCGUAGGUGGCCACUUAAGUCAGACGUGAAAUCCCUCAGCUUAACUGGGGAGCUGCGUCUGAUACUGAGUGGCUUGAGUGCAGGAGAGGAAUGCGGAAUUCCAGGUGUAGCGGUGAAAUGCGUAGAUAUCUGGAGGAACACCGGUGGCGAAGGCGGCAUUCUGGACUGUAACUGACACUGAGGAACGAAAGCCAGGGGAGCAAACGGG